UUAUGGCCACAUCACAUUGGAACACUGGUUCCCAUAUGAUGACUAAAGUUAAGCAACAUCAAGCCUAGUCAGUACCUAGAUGGGGGACCACUUGGAAAUACCAGGUACUGUAAG